AAAAAAAAAAAAAAAAAAAAAAUCUUAAUAAAAGAAAACUAACAACUCCUUUGUUUUAUUCUAUUAAAAAUAAAACAUCUUUUACUGUACGUUCCUAGAGUAAGUGGCAAAGAGCUUGAUGGUUGGCAUCUGAGACCCAAAUUCGAAUCCUAGUUGAUUCACUUUUCCAGAUAAAUUUAUUUUUAAAUGAAAUAAACGAAACAGAUAGCAUGCUAUCUAUCUCUCAAAAACAAUAUAUAUAGCACUCUUUUUUUGUUUUUGUAUUGCAUUGUAGUUGUAGGU
rnacentral:lncRNA from 1 species